GUGAUGAUGUGAGAUGAUAAAAUGCCUACAUGGUGAAAUGAAGUGAGGUGAAUGACAUAGGCAUUGUGACAUAGCAUUAAGGUUACUAUCGGCAGUCUGACGAUAUAUGGAAGGAGGAUCGUCUGUGUCAAGUGAUCCUGGAUCACCAAGCCAGGAUGAUGUUGACAGCCGGAUGUCAGGAGCAGGCGAUGUUGGUGGCUAACAAAUAGAACAUGCCUCCAGCUCUGGGACAGCUUGCAACAGCAGCCUUCUCCUCUGGUCCUAAGCAACUUCUGCCAAAUGCUAACCUGAUCCUCUGGAUGACAAAUAGACAUCACUGGCACAUCAGAACUCAUGUGUCGCCCCAGGUCAUCAUCAAGUUCAGUGUUUCAAUGCCAAAGGCUUCCCGAAAAAGGAGUGGUGCCUCAUCUUACUCAUUCCAUACAUGUCACCUUCUUUCACUGAAAUGUCCUAAGCCACGAUGCAGUCCAGAAGACCUUCAUUUCUAAUUUUGUAUUCAAGCGCCAGUGGAGACAAAUUGGUUAGCAGUUCAUCAUGGGAGUAAUUCCAGAGCUCAUUCAUAUAGACUCUAAGGACUUUCCUGUGUCACCAAAGGCAGCCAACACAUAUUUGGUGACCUUGGGAAGAACACAAUAAUUGGUGAUUUAGAAAAACUACAGUGUAUGCUUCAGUCCUUAAGAUUCAUCAUCUAAUUUUCUCUAUCUCCUUUCACUGGCUAAGGAAUAUCUGUCAACACAUGUGCCAUUGGCCUAUCAUUCUUCCUAAUGUGGUUAUUGAGCCUGACUGCCUAUGUCUUGACCCAGGAAAAUUGUUCUGGCACAUGUGCAGGCACCAUAAGGUAAUGUAAAAUAUGCAAGGGUUAAAGUCCCUACCCGUCGCCCCUGCCCCUGUGAGUCUACCUUGAGGGAAAUCUGCGCAUUAUUUUAAACACGUGACUCUUUCUCAUAAUCCUGUAUAUUAGGAAUUUACAUUGUAAAAGUUCACU